UCGAGUUAUUCAACUCCCAAACCCUAUGUGAACUUACCACUUGUUGCUUCGGCGCGCGCUUCGGCGCCGCCGAGGACACUUAAACUCUUUGUUUUUAUAAGCAUUUCUGAGUGGCCGAAAGGCAAAAUACAAAUGAAUCA
rnacentral:misc_RNA from 1 species